GAUGAUUGAUAUGACUGUAUUUUUUUUUCUUUUCUGUUUGGUAGGGAAACCAUUUAUGAAUGAUUCAUAUGAUGCAUGUUAGAAUGCAAAUGGGUAAUUGGAUAUUUUUUUGUAGGAUUUUAUUUUUCAAUGAGAUUAUUGGGGAAUAUCAUCAUUAGAGGGUUGAUGGAAGACAGUGAAUGUCGACACCAAAGGGUUGAUAGACAGGUAAAUGUCAUCGUCAAAGGGUUGACGAAAAAGAUUGUCAUCAUCAGAGGGCUGAUGGAAAAG
rnacentral:lncRNA from 1 species